rnacentral:rRNA from 1 species
GAUGAACGCUGGCGGCGUGCCUAACACAUGCAAGUCGAGCGUGAUUGUGUGGAUUGAAGCUUCGGCAGAGAGAAACACAUGAAAGCGGCGGACGGGUGAGUAACGCGUGGGCAACCUGCCCCAUACAGCGGAAUAGCCACUGGAAACGGUGAUUAAUGCCGCAUAAGACCACAGUAUCGCAUGGUACGGGGGGCAAAGAUUUAUCGGUAUGGGAUGGGCCCGCGUCUGAUUAGCUAGUUGGUGAGGUAACGGCUCACCAAGGCGACGAUCAGUAGCCGACCUGAGAGGGGGGACGGCCACACUGGAACUGAGACACGGUCCAGACUCCUACGGGAGGCAGCAGUGGGGAAUAUUGCACAAUGGGCGCAAGCCUGAUGCAGCAACGCCGCGUGAGUGAAGAAGGCCUUCGGGUCGUAAAGCUCUGUCCUGUGGGAAGAAAAAAAUGACGGUACCACAGGAGGAAGCCCCGGCUAACUACGUGCCAGCCGCCGCCGUAA